AUUGAACGCUGGCGGCAGGCCUAAUACAUGCAAGUCGAGCGAGCGGCGGACGGGUGAGCAAUGUAUGGGGAUCUGCGCGAUAGAGGGGUAUUACUACGGGAAAAGGUGGCUAAUACCGCUUACUAUCGGAUGAACCCAUGUGGGAUUAGCUAGUAGGUGGGGUAACGGCUCACCUAGGCGACGAUGUCUAGCUGGUCUGAGAGGAUGAUCAGCCACACUGGGACUGAGACACGGCCCAGACUCCUACGGGAGGCAGCAGUAGGGAAUAUUGCGCAAUGGGCGCAAGCCUGAUGCAGCCAUGCCGCGUGUAUGAAGAAGGCUUUAGGAUUGUAAAGUACUUUCAGCGGGGAGGCGUUACCCACAGAAAAAGCACCGGCUAACUCCGUGCCAGCAGCCGCGGUAAUUC
rnacentral:rRNA from 1 species